GAUGAACGCUGGCGGCGUGCCUAAUACAUGCAAGUCGAGCGAACAGACGAGGAGCUUGCUCCUCUGACGUUAGCGGCGGACGGGUGAGUAACACGUGGAUAACCUACCUAUAAGACUGGGAUAACUUCGGGAAACCGGAGCUAAUACCGGAAAUUAUAUUGAACCGCAUGGUUCAUUAGUGAAAAACGGUUUUGCUGUCACUUAUAGAUGGUUCCGCGCCGCAUUAGCUAGUUGGUAAGGUAACGGCUUACCAAGGCAACGAUGCGUAGCCGACCUGAGAGGGUGAUCGGCCACACUGGAACUGAGACACGGUCCAGACUCCUACGGGAGGCAGCAGUAGGGAAUCUUCCGCAAUGGGCGAAAGCCUGACGGAGCAACGCCGCGUGAGUGAUGAAGGUCUUCGGAUCGUAAAACUCUGUUAUUAGGGAAGAACAAAUGUGUAAGUAACUAUGCACGUCUUGACGGUACCUAAUCAGAAAGCCACGGCUAACUACGUG
rnacentral:rRNA from 1 species